rnacentral:rRNA from 1 species
AGCGAACGCUGGCGGCAGGCCUAACACAUGCAAGUCGAGCGCCCCGCAAGGGGAGCGGCGGACGGGUGAGUAACGCGUGGGAACGUACCCUUUGCUACGGAAUAGCCUCGGGAAACUGGGAGUAAUACCGUAUGUGCCCUUCGGGGGAAAGAUUUAUCGGCAAAGGAUCGGCCCGCGUUGGAUUAGGUAGUUGGUGGGGUAAUGGCUUACCAAGCCGACGAUCCAUAGCUGGUUUGAGAGGAUGAUCAGCCACACUGGGACUGAGACACGGCCCAGACUCCUACGGGAGGCAGCAGUGGGGAAUCUUAGACAAUGGGCGCAAGCCUGAUCUAGCCAUGCCGCGUGAGCGAUGAAGGCCUUAGGGUUGUAAAGCUCUUUCAGUGGGGAAGAUAAUGACUGUACCCACAGAAGAAGCCCCGGCUAACUCCGUGCCAGCAGCCGCGGU